rnacentral:rRNA from 1 species
GAUGAACGCUGGCGGCGUGCCUAAUACAUGCAAGUCGAGCGAACGGACGAGAAGCUUGCUUCUCUGAUGUUAGCGGCGGACGGGUGAGUAACACGUGGAUAACCUACCUAUAAGACUGGGAUAACUUCGGGAAACCGGAGCUAAUACCGGAUAAUAUUUUGAACCGCAUGGUUCAAAAGUGAAAGACGGUCUUGCUGUCACUUAUAGAUGGAUCCGCGCUGCAUUAGCUAGUUGGUAAGGUAACGGCUUACCAAGGCAACGAUGCAUAGCCGACCUGAGAGGGUGAUCGGCCACACUGGAACUGAGACACGGUCCAGACUCCUACGGGAGGCAGCAGUAGGGAAUCUUCCGCAAUGGGCGAAAGCCUGACGGAGCAACGCCGCGUGAGUGAUGAAGGUCUUCGGAUCGUAAAACUCUGUUAUUAGGGAAGAACAUAUGUGUAAGUAACUGUGCACAUCUUGACGGUACCUAAUCAGAAAGCCACGGCUAACUACGUGCCAGCAGCCGCGGUAAUACGUAGGUGGCAAGCGUUAUCCGGAAUUAUUGGGCGUAAAGCGCGCGUAGGCGGUUUUUUAAGUCUGAUGUGAAAGCCCACGGCUCAACCGUGGAGGGUCAUUGGAAACUGGAAAACUUGAGUGCAGAAGAGGAAAGUGGAAUUCCAUGUGUAGCGGUGAAAUGCGCAGAGAUAUGGAGGAACACCAGUGGCGAAGGCGACUUUCUGGUCUGUAACUGACGCUGAUGUGCGAAAGCGUGGGGAUCAAACAGGAUUAGAUACCCUGGUAGUCCACGCCGUAAACGAUGAGUGCUAAGUGUUAGGGGGUUUCCGCCCCUUAGUGCUGCAGCUAACGCAUUAGGCACUCCGCCUGGGGAGUACGACCGCAAGGUUGAAACUCAAAGGAAUUGACGGGGACCCGCACAAGCGGUGGAGCAUGUGGUUUAAUUCGAAGCAACGCGAAGAACCUUACCAAAUCUUGACAUCCUUUGACAACUCUAGAGAUAGAGCCUUCCCCUUCGGGGGACAAAGUGACAGGUGGUGCAUGGUUGUCGUCAGCUCGUGUCGUGAGAUGUUGGGUUAAGUCCCGCAACGAGCGCAACCCUUAAGCUUAGUUGCCAUCAUUAAGUUGGGCACUCUAAGUUGACUGCCGGUGACAAACCGGAGGAAGGUGGGGAUGACGUCAAAUCAUCAUGCCCCUUAUGAUUUGGGCUACACACGUGCUACAAUGGGCAAUACAAAGGGCAGCGAAGCCGCGAGGUCAAGCAAAUCCCAUAAAGUUGUUCUCAGUUCGGAUUGUAGUCUGCAACUCGACUACAUGAAGCUGGAAUCGCUAGUAAUCGUAGAUCAGCAUGCUACGGUGAAUACGUUCCCGGGUCU